rnacentral:rRNA from 1 species
AACGAACGCUGGCGGCAUGCCUAACACAUGCAAGUCGAACGAGACCUUCGGGUCUAGUGGCGCACGGGUGCGUAACGCGUGGGAACCUGCCCUUAGGUUCGGAAUAACUCCCCGAAAGGGGUGCUAAUACCGGAUAAUGUCUUCGGACCAAAGAUUUAUCGCCUUUGGAUGGGCCCGCGUUGGAUUAGCUAGUUGGUAGGGUAAAAGCCUACCAAGGCGACGAUCCAUAGCUGGUCUGAGAGGAUGAUCAGGCACACUGGGACUGAGACACGGCCCAGACUCCUACGGGAGGCAGCAGUGGGGUAUAUUGGACAAUGGGCGAAAGCCUGAUCAAGCAAUGCCGCGUGAGUGAUGCAGGCCUUAGGGUUGUAAAGCUCUUUUACACGGGAUGAGAAUGACAGUAACGGGAGAAUAAGCUCCGGCUAACUCCGUG